AGCUCUACUAGCAUAUAUUAAAUUUGCUGCAGUUAAAACGCUCGUAGUUUGAGUUAUUGGAGUAGGGCGGGUUGAGGUGGUUUAUUCUGCCUUGGCCCGGCGUGCUUCAUUACAUUCGGGAGCGGGCUGUUAAGUCAGGCCGUUUCCAUUAGACCGUGAACAAAUGGUGAGGCUUAAACAGAGGGCAAUUGGCUCGUUUGGCCUUUUAGCAUGGGAUCUUAGAAUAUGGGAGAGACGGGAGGGCGAGUGGGAGACCGCUGGCGUUUCAGUCUUUUCAAUGGUUAAUGAGGGUAAACGGGGAAGUUAAUAUUGAGCGGCUAGAGGUGAAAUUCUUGGAUUCGCUCAAGAUUAACAUCAGCGAAGGCAUUCUUCAAGAAUACGCCUGUCA
rnacentral:rRNA from 1 species